rnacentral:rRNA from 1 species
UACGGAGGAGGCAAGCGUUAUCCGGAAUUAUUGGGCGUAAAGCGUCCGCAGGUGGCACUUCAAGUCUGCCGUCAAAGACUGGGGCUUAACCCUGGAAAGGCGGUGGAAACUGAAGCGCUAGAGUGCGGUAGGGGUAGAGGGAAUUCCCGGUGUAGCGGUGAAAUGCGUAGAGAUCGGGAAGAACAUCGGUGGCGAAAGCGCUCUACUGGACCGCAACUGACACUCGGGGACGAAAGCUAGGGGAGCGAAUGGG